AGAGUUUGAUCCUGGCUCAGGACGAACGCUGGCGGCGUGCUUAAUACAUGCAAGUUGAGCGGAGCCAUUGAUGAAGCUUGCGAUUCAAUGGUCGAGCGGCGGACGGGUGAGUAACGCGUGGGCAACCUGCCCUCUAGUCUGGGAUAACAGUUCGAAAGGGCUGCUAACACCGGAUAAGCUCACGGAGAGGCAUCUUUCAGUGAGAAAAGUUUACGCUAGAGGAUGGGCCCGCGUCCCAUUAGCUAGUUGGUGAGGUAACGGCUCACCAAGGCGCCGAUGGGUAGCCGACCUGAGAGGGUGACCGGCCACACUGGGACUGAGACACGGCCCAGACUCCUACGGGAGGCAGC
rnacentral:rRNA from 1 species